ACCUCCGUGGCUCAGUGGACAGAGCGCCCGUCUCCGAAGCGGGAGAUCGCCGGUUCGACUCCGGCCGGGGGUA
rnacentral:tRNA from 1 species